rnacentral:rRNA from 1 species
AGUGAACGCUGGCGGCAGGCCUAACACAUGCAAGUCGAGCGGAUGAAGAGAGCUUGCUCGUUGAUUCAGCUGCCGACUGGUGAGUGAGUCCUAGGAAUCUGCCUGUUAGUUGGUUAUAACGUCCUGAAACGGGCGCUAAUACCGCAUACGUCCUUAGGGCGAAAGGGUGGAAGCUUCGGACCUUAGGCUAUUGCAUGAUCCUAGGUCGGAUUAGCUAGUUGGUGGGGUAAAGGCCUACCAAGGCGACGAUCCGUAGCUGGUCUGAGAGGAUGAUCAGCCACACUGGAACUGAGACACGGUCCAGACUCCUACGGGAGGCAGCAGUGGGGAAUAUUGGACAAUGGGCGCAAGCCUGAUCCAGCCAUGCCGCGUGUGUGAAGAAGGUCUUCGGAUUGUAAAGCCCUUUUAGUUGGGAGGAAGGGCAGUAAGUUAAUACCUCGCUGUUUUGACGGUACCCAAAGAAUAAGCACCGGCUAACUUCGUG